CAGUGAAAUGACGGUGAUCAUCUUUCAGGACUGACCUGAAAUGAAGAGAAUGCUCAUUGCUGACUACUU